GAUUCCUACGGGGGGCAGCAGUGGGGAAUCUUCCGCAAUGGGCGAAAGCCUGACGGAGCAACGCCGCGUGAUCGAAUGAAGGCCUUCGGGUUGUAAAGAUCUGUUGACAGGGACGAAUAAGCAAUGCGAAUAGUUUUGUGUAUGACGGUACCUGUUUAGAAAGCUCCGGCUAACUACGUGCCAGCAGCCGCGGUAAUACGUAGGGAGCAAGCGUUAUCCGGAUUUACUGGGUGUAAAGGGAGCGUAGACGGCCAGACAAGUCUGAAGUGAAAAUCCAGCGCUUAACGUUGGAAGUGCUUUGGAAA
rnacentral:rRNA from 1 species